AAAUAUUCAACCAGAAUGAGUUUAGAUGCUAAAAUAUCAGUGCUUCAGUUGAGAAAGGUAAACAAUCAAGUUCUACUCAAUAAUGUUAAUACAAAUUUCCUACAUCUCUCUAUGAAGGUCUACAUGUCAUCCACACCUUCACCUAGUCAAAUUAUAUAUAUUUAUUAGACUGGAUUGAACGAUGAUCCACUCAAAGCCUUCAAGUUCUACGGCUGCAGAGAUCCCUCCAGAGGCUUAUCCAUAUUCCUCGGAUGAGCCUCUUGUGGGAAUUGAAAGGCGCGGAAAAGAACUUCGGCAACUUAUUCUCAACAAUGAAUCAAGGGAUGUUGUAAUUUCAGUAUUAGGAGGUGCUGGCUCGGAUAAAACCACUCUUAUCUAUGAAGUCUAUCAAAUGGUGAAGGUAACUUUCGAAUGCCAUGCUUGGGUUCCUGUAUCACGCUCUUGUGAGGGCAUGUAAAAGAGAAUUUGGGAGGCGUUGGAAUUUCCAGCUUACCAAGGAACAGAUCGAAGACGGUGUCUACACACUCAUUUACAGCAGAAAAGGUACAUACUUGUUUUAGAUGGUAUUUGGAGUGAAGAUGAGUGGAAAUGCAUUAGAAAUGUACUUCCUUGUAAUAAUCAAGGUAGUAGAAUAAUCGUUUCUACUCGUAAACGCAACAUUUCUUCUUGUUGUGCCACCUCUCAUGAUUUUAUUUAUGAUCUCAAUCUAAAUCCAUUAACAUGGGAAGAGGCUUCAGAGCUCUUCCUUAAAAAGGCCUUCCCAAUUGGUAAAUGCCUUAUUUCAUGUGAGGAGUGGUCUGAGAAAAUUGUGAAACGAUGUGAAGGAUUGCCACAAGCGAUUGUUGCAAUUGGCAAUAUCUUAUCCAGUAAGCCACAAACUAUUAUGGAGUUCAAGAAAGUCCAUGACAAUCUUGAGUUUGAACCAGGAAGCCUUGAAUAUAUCGGAAAAUUCUUGCAGAGUUACUACCAUCUAUCGCCUAAUCUUAAGUCUUGUUUCAUGUACUUCAGCAAUUUUCCUGAAGAUUACUCUGUUACACGCGGAAGACUAAUUCGCUUGUGGAUAGCAGAGGGGUUUAUUGAGGAAAAAAGAGGUCAAACUCUGGAGCAAGUGGCGGAUGAGUACCUAGACGAGCUAGUUCAAAUGAGCUUGGUUCAAGUGAGUAGAUGGGAUUGUGAAGGACGAGUGAGGAGUUGCCGAGUUUCUAAUCUUGCAAGAGGUUUCAUCCUUUCCAAAUCUGAGAAAGAAAAUUUUGUUACUGUUAUUACAAGGCCACAUACAAAUUUGAGUCAGAACCACCGGCGCUUGUCUCUCCAUAUAUGCACCACCAAUAUUACAAGGGAAGGACUUCUCUCAUGUUCGUACCUUCUCUAUGUUUGGGGGAGACAGGAGUUUCGAAUUACUGGUCAGAGGAGUUUUUAGCAACUUUAGAUUGUAGAAGCAGAAAGGUCCAUGGGACAAUCGAGUGACAUCCUAAAAAAUCCA